rnacentral:rRNA from 1 species
CCUACGGGGGGCAGCAGUGAGGAAUAUUGCCCAAUGGGGGAAACCCUGAGGCAGCAACGCCGCGUGGAUGAGGAAGGCCUUCGGGUUGUAAAAUCCUUUUCUCAGGGACGAUGAUGACGGUACUUGAGGAAUAAGUCCCGGCUAACUACGUGCCAGCAGCCGCGGUAAAACGUAGGGGACAAGCGUUAUCCGGAUUUAUUGGGCGUAAAGCGCACGUAGGCGGCUUGUUAAGCUGGACGUGAAAGCUCCCGGCUUAACUGGGAGAGGUCGGACAGGACUGGCAGGCUAGAGGCUGGCAGAGGAGCGUGGAAUUCCCGGUGUAGUGGUGGAAUGCGUAGAUAUCGGGAGGAACACCAGUGGCGAAAGCGACGCUCUGGGUCAGCACUGACGCUUAGGUGCGAAAGCGUGGGGAGCGAACGGGAUUAGAUACCCGAGUAGUC